rnacentral:rRNA from 1 species
UGAAUGAGAUUUUAACACGAAGUGAGUGGCGGACGGGUGAGUAACACGUGGGUAACCUGCCCAGAAGCAGGGGAUAACACCUGGAAACAGAUGCUAAUACCGUAUAACAGAGAAAACCGCCUGGUUUUCUUUUAAAAGAUGGCUCUGCUAUCACUUCUGGAUGGACCCGCGGCGCAUUAGCUAGUUGGUGAGGUAACGGCUCACCAAGGCGAUGAUGCGUAGCCGACCUGAGAGGGUAAUCGGCCACAUUGGGACUGAGACACGGCCCAGACUCCUACGGGAGGCAGCAGUAGGGAAUCUUCCACAAUGGACGCAAGUCUGAUGGAGCAACGCCGCGUGAGUGAAGAAGGGUUUCGGCUCGUAAAGCUCUGUUGUUAAAGAAGAACGUGGGUGAGAGUAACUGUUCACCCAGUGACGGUAUUUAACCAGAAAGCCACGGCUAACUACGUGCCAGCAGCCGCGGUAAUACGUAGGUGGCAAGCGUUAUCCGGAUUU